GACGAACGCUGGCGGCGUGCCUAAUAUAUGCAAGUAGAACGCACAGUUUAUACCGUAGCUUGCUACACCAUAGACUGUGAGUUGCGAACGGGUGAGUAACGCGUAGGUAACCUGCCUGGUAGCGGGGGAUAACUAUUGGAAACGAUAGCUAAUACCGCAUAAUAUUGAUUAUUGCAUGAUAAUUGAUUGAAAGAUGCUGUUGCAUCACUACCAGAUGGACCUGCGUUGUAUUAGCUAGUAGGUGAGGUAACGGCUCACCUAGGCGACGAUACAUAGCCGACCUGAGAGGGUGAUCGGCCACACUGGGACUGAGACACGGCCCAGACUCCUACGGGAGGCAGCAGUGGGGAAUCUUCGGCAAUGGACGAAAGUCUGACCGAGCAACGCCGCGUGAGUGAAGAAGGUUUUCGGAUCGUAAAGCUCUGUUGUAAGAGAAGAACGGGUGUGAGAGUGGAAAGUUCACACUGUGACGGUAUCUUACCAGAAAGGGACGGCUAACUACGUG
rnacentral:rRNA from 1 species